CUUCGACCAGAGAUCACAAAAACGGCAGACAUCAUGAAGAAUUUAAAGAAGAAGAUGAAAACCAAUGACCUGAUGAUUUUGAAAGCUGACAAAGGAUGCACUACAGUAAUAAUGGAUGAGGACGAAUAUCUAAGUAAGCUCUUGAAUCUU